UGACCUCGGAUCAGGUAGGAAUACCCGCUGAACUUAAGCAUAUCAAUAAGCGGAGGAAAUC
rnacentral:rRNA from 1 species